rnacentral:lncRNA from 1 species
UACAACAUUUUUCAAAAUUCAGUGGCCAGAACUCAAUAUUUUAAAUUUCAGUGAGCAAUCGAAGACAUGAAUUUAACUUCAGUGGUCAAAACUUGACAUGUUAAAUUUCAGUGACCAAUCAAAGAUAUGAACCUAAGUUCAGUGACCAUUGGAACAUUUAACUCUCUUUUCUUGGUAAGUAACAUUUUAUAUGUAUCCAAAAAGAGUAAGCAACAUUAGUAUUUCUUAAAUGGGAUUUUUCCUUGACUUCUUCCAUUUUAAAUUUGCAUAUUUUGUGC